rnacentral:rRNA from 1 species
UACGUAGGGCGCAAGCGUUGUCCGGAAUUAUUGGGCGUAAAGAGCUCGUAGGCGGCUUGUCGCGUCGAGUGUGAAAUCCUGCGGCUCAACUGCAGGCUUGCAUUCGAUACGGGCGGGCUGGAGUUCGGUAGGGGAGACUGGAAUUCCUGGUGUAGCGGUGAAAUGCGCAGAUAUCAGGAGGAACACCGGUGGCGAAGGCGGGUCUCUGGGCCGAUACUGACGCUGAGGAGCGAAAGCGUGGGGAGCGAACAGG